rnacentral:rRNA from 1 species
GGGGAUAACUACUGGAAACGGUAGCUAAUACCGCAUACGCCCUACGGGGGAAAGCAGGGGACCUUCGGGCCUUGCGCGAUUGGAUGAACCCAGGUGGGAUUAGCUAGUUGGUGAGGUAAUGGCUCACCAAGGCGACGAUCCCUAGCUGGUCUGAGAGGAUGAUCAGCCACACUGGAACUGAGACACGGUCCAGACUCCUACGGGAGGCAGCAGUGGGGAAUAUUGCACAAUGGGGGAAACCCUGAUGCAGCCAUGCCGCGUGUGUGAAGAAGGCCUUCGGGUUGUAAAGCACUUUCAGCGAGGAGGAAAGGUUGGUAGCUAAUAACUGCCAGCUGUGACGUUACUCGCAGAAGAAGCACCGGCUAACUCCGUGC